rnacentral:lncRNA from 1 species
UUUUGGUUGAUGUACCUCUGAAGGUGAUGCCUGAUGCCUCAAAAGCAUCCACCCCUGUGAUUGAUUCGAUUUCUCAAGUAAUACCUGAUAAAGCCAAAAAACCCACCAUUGUGAUUGAUUCACCUCCUCGGAUAAUACAUGAUAGAGCCAAAGCACCCACCAUUGUGGUUGAUGUGCCGUCUAGUAUAACACCUAAUACAGAAGAUGCAUCCACCAUUGUUGUUGAUUCACCUCCUCGAUUAAUACCCAGUAGAACGAGAGCAUCCACAACAGUGGCCGAUACACCUCUGAUCACACCUGAUACAGCUGAAGUAUCCACCAUUCCAGUUAGUUUACCCACUCGAUCAAUACCAAAUAAAGCGAAAGCAUACACAGCAGUGGCUGAUUCACUUGCUCGGACGAUACCUGAUACAAUUAAAACAUCUACAAUUGCAGUUGAUUCACCUCCUCUGUUAAAACCUAAUAGAGCAAGAACAUCCACAGUAGUGGCGAGUUCACCUCCGCGGGUAGUACCUGAUACAGCCCAAGAAUCUCCCGUUGCAGUUGAUUCAACUCCUCCAUUAAAACCUAAUAGAAUGAGAGCAUCCACAAUAGUGGCGAAUUCACCUCCUCGGGUAGUUCCUGAUACAGCCCAAGCAUCCACUGUUGCAGACAAUUCCCCACCUCGGUUAAAAUCUCAUAGAGCAAGAGCAUCCACAGUAGUUGCUGAUUCACCUCCUCGGAUAAUACCUGAUACAGUCAAAGCACCCACCAUUGCAAAUAAUGGACCACCAAUUUCAAGAACUAAUAGAGUGAGAGCAUCCACCAUAGCUGUUGAUGCACCUCCUCGUGUACCC